GCGCGGCGAGGACGGGGCGGCGGGGGCGCAGGGCCUGGAGGGCACCCGGGAGCCUCUCCGCGCCCGGCCGGCGCCCCUGCCACUUGCAGCCCCGGUUGUUUAUUCGGGAGCGGGGGAGGGGAGCGGGUGGAGUUCCUCGGAGUGAAAACCUUUCCGAACUGGGAGCGAACCUGGGGCGGCCCCCCGCCCCCCGGCCGCAGCCUUCGGAGGAGACUGGGCCGCCGAGGCGGUCGUGAGAGACGGACGGAGAGGAAGCCGCGGCUGGAAUGUCCUAACCGCCCGCUUCUCAUGUUGUCCUGGGGCAGGGGCCUCAGGAUGGAAACCAGCAGCCUGCACUGCCCGAGAAGGUCGGCUGGGUCCGGAAAUUCUGCGGGAAAGGAAUUUUCAGGGAGAUUUGGAAAAACCGCUAUGUGGUGCUGAAAGGGGACCAGCUCUACAUCUCUGAGAAGGAGGUAAAAGAUGAGAAAAAUAUUCAAGAGGUAUUUGACCUGAGUGACUAUGAGAAGUGUGAAGAGCUCCGGAAGUCCAAGAGCAGGAGCAAGAAAAAUCAUAGCAAGUUUACUCUUGCCCACUCCAAACAGCCCGGUAACACGGCACCCAACCUGAUCUUCCUGGCAGUGAGUCCAGAAGAGAAGGAAUCGUGGAUCAAUGCCCUCAACUCUGCCAUCACCCGAGCCAAGAACCGUAUCUUGGAUGAGGUCACCGUUGAGGAGGACAGCUAUCUUGCCCAUCCCACUCGAGACAGGGCAAAAAUCCAACAUUCCCGCCGCCCCCCAACAAGGGGACACCUAAUGGCUGUGGCUUCCACCUCUACCUCAGAUGGGAUGCUGACCUUGGACUUGAUCCAAGAGGAAGACCCUUCUCCUGAGGAACCAACCUCUUGUGCUGAGAGCUUUCGGGUUGACCUGGACAAGUCUGUGGCCCAGCUGGCAGGGAGCCGGCGGAGAGCAGACUCAGACCGCAUUCAGCCCUCCGCAGACCGGGCAAGCAGCCUCUCCCGACCUUGGGAAAAAACAGACAAAGGG
rnacentral:sRNA from 1 species